ensembl:snRNA U2 U2 spliceosomal RNA
AUCGCUUCUCGGCCUUUUGGCUAAGAUCAAGUGUAGGAAAAUAAUGGAAUGAAAGUUUUGAUAAUAUUUUUAUCAUUGACUUCCU